rnacentral:rRNA from 1 species
AUACGAAGGGGGCAAGCGUUGUUCGGAAUAACUGGGCGUAAAGCGCACGUAGGCGGAAUGUUAAGUUAGAGGUGAAAUCCCAGGGCUCAACCCUGGAACUGCCUUUAAUACUGGCAAUCUAGAGACCGAGAGAGGUGAGUGGAAUUCCGAGUGUAGAGGUGAAAUUCGUAGAUAUUCGGAGGAACACCAGUGGCGAAGGCGGCUCACUGACUCGGUACUGACGCUGAGGUGCGAAAGCGUGGGGAGCAAACAGGAUUAGAAACCCUAGUAGUCC